CUAUAAUGGAGAGUUUGAUCCUGGCUCAGGACGAACGCUGGCGGCGUGCCUAAUACAUGCAAGUCGAGCGGAAGUUGAAGAGCUUGCUCUUCAACUUUAGCGGCGGACGGGUGAGUAACACGUGGGCAACCUGCCCUGCAGAUCGGGAUAACUCCGGGAAACCGGUGCUA
rnacentral:rRNA from 1 species